rnacentral:lncRNA from 1 species
GAUGAGUGCCAUCGUUACGAUAUUAUUAUAUUUAUUCCUAUAAGCCACCUAAUAAGUAUGCAACCAGUUAUGCGUUCGUGCUUAGAACGGGUUACCUAGAUUUGUGACCAAAUAUAAUAGAAGGUUGGUACUAAGCUUGGGGAAUUCUGGUCUUAGCUUGUGGCUGUACGGCUUCCGACGGAGGGGCAUGUCAUAUCGCCCAUCGGAGAGGAUUGUCACUUCAAUUUUCAAUCUGGUUGGAUGAACAAGUAAAUUUUUCCGUGGUCACUGUUUAAAGAAUACAAUAUUUAGUUAAAAUAUUCAUUUAUUAUAAGAUUGGUUUAUUUUGGAAAGAGCUAUUUUUUGUUUUGGGAUUUGUGCGGUGAGAGGAAGAGUUUUAUUUCCAAGUUUCCUUUUGGAAAACAGUGGCCACGGAAGAAAAUAAGAAGAUGGAAAAUUAAGUCAAUCAUACUUUAAGUUGUUUUUUUUUGGAAUACAUAAUCAUUUUGGGGAUAUUUUGGAUGGAAUGUGGAUGUUUUGUUUGGUUUUUAUGGAAUAAAAGUUGAGUUUUCCGAUACUGGGCAGCUACCUGCUUGCCGUACCUUCCUGUUGGUGUGGAGUACCUCCCUAGGGUUGGGAACCAGAGGAUACCUUAUUUGGCUCUCCCCUCAUCAUCUUCACCGAAGGUUGGAAGAAGCAAUCCGCCUACUUUUUGUAGGGACAGGUUUUUAUAUAACUAAAUUUGCAUGUCAAUUUGUUUUAAUAAUAACUUCCAAUUUUACUAUUUUUUUUUCUCUUCGUAUCAAUAACUUUCAAAUCACUCUAAUAAUAAUAUACCCUCAUUGUUUUUUCUUAACCAUAAUUAACAUAAUAUUCAAUAUUUUUCAACAAUUUUUAUUAUAUUUCACCCUUAUUUAAUUUAUUUAAAAUAGCCUGGGAUUUAUAAACCAUAUGUAAGAUAAUGUGCACAGUAUCUAGGUCAUAUCCUAUUUAAUAAUAUUUAUUCCAGUUGUCGGAUGUUGUCACCUCCGAUUAGAUACGGUAUUGUCAACCAAUAUUGUAACCCUCAUUAAUAAUAAGUUGUUAAGGUAAAUACCUAUUCAUAUUAAAUUCAUUACAUAUUUUUUUCUACUGUAAAACCUGCAUUAUCGACAGCAGUGUACUAGCCUAGUACGUCGGAUAAUUAGCUAGUGUAAAAAUUGUAUAUAGGGUAUAUAGGUUUUUUUUAUUAAAUGUGGUUGUACAUA